rnacentral:lncRNA from 1 species
CAAAAUUAACUGCUUGAAAUUUACUGCAAUUCACCACCGCCGUCUAGCGGGCGGACCGAAAAUCGUCGUUUCUCUGCCUCUUUUGGGGAGGGGUUCUAAGCUAUCGAUUGCAAUGCAAUAGUUAGCUUAACAAUUGAUUUGCAAUCGUCUCAGACGAAUGUUAUUGUUUACAAUCGCAAGAAGGACAUAUCUAAUAAGUGAAGCCGUGAUGAACCCUUAAAACUCAUAAGGAGAAGUGUUGAUGAUAGUCAAGGACUGUCGAAUAGGCCAUUUGCAAACGUACUUGCCCAAUCACCGACAUAACUCGAAUUUGAUUGAUUGAUGGAAAUCUCUCAGUUCCGGACAUGCAGGAAAUACUGCAUGCAUUAAAAGAAAGCAAGGUUAAAGAGAAAGCAGUGACAGUGAGAUACCUAAUACAAAGAGGCAGAUUGCAAUCACAUACUUCAACUCAAUAGUCCAUGAUGUAAACUUGGCAGGUGAAUGUGAGCAGUAUCAUACUGGGUUUGCCAAGAACACCGAACACCCCAAUACCAAUUUGUUGCACUGGCCAUGUCCACAGCGGACUUAAUAUCUUGAAUAACUGCCAGAAGAAUGGAUUAUUGGACCUGCAAAAAACUGAGUCUGUAACUGGGAAUUAAUUAAUUGAAAACGAGCGUUGUUACAUGUUUGUUCUACCCGGGAAGGUACUCUACAACACAGCUGUGACGGUCAGGAUCAAGUGCGACAACCGCACUUGCUUUACGACAGCGAGGACGAGUCAGACGAGCGGGACUGCCAUUCGGCUAGCCCGUGCACCGAUAUAAUAAAUAUUCUUUAACAAAAUAAUAGAAUGAUUUCUGUCAAUCAACAUUGUCAUCAUAAGUCAAAUGUGAUUCCCCCCAAUCGUCUACUGCUCAAAUUUUUUCAAGAAAUAAACGAGACGAAACGAGA